rnacentral:rRNA from 1 species
CCUACGGGUGGCAGCAGUGGGGAAUAUUGGACAAUGGGCGAAAGCCUGAUCCAGCCAUGCCGCGUGUGUGAAGAAGGCCUUCGGGUUGUAAAGCACUUUCAGUGGGGAAGAAAGCCUUGGGGCUAAUACCCUCGAGGAAGGACAUCACCCACAGAAGAAGCACCGGCUAACUCCGUGCCAGCAGCCGCGGUAAUACGGAGGGUGCGAGCGUUAAUCGGAAUUACUGGGCGUAAAGCGCGCGUAGGCGGUCUGAUAAGCCGGUUGUGAAAGCCCCGGGCUCAACCUGGGAACGGCAUCCGGAACUGUCAGGCUUGAGUGCAGGAGAGGAAGGUAGAAUUCCCGGUGUAGCGGUGAAAUGCGUAGAGAUCGGGAGGAAUACCAGUGGCGAAGGCGGCCUUCUGGACUGACACUGACGCUGAGGUGCGAAAGCGUGGGUAGCAAACAGGAUUAGAUACCCCGGUAGUC